rnacentral:SRP_RNA from 1 species
CGCCAGGUCCCGUGCGAACAAGACCUAUGAACCCCGCCAGAUCCGGAAGGAAGCAACGGUAGUAGAAUUCUUCGUUGUGCCGCGGGGAACUUCCCGGUC